CCUACGGGGGGCUGCAGUGGGGAAUAUUGGACAAUGGGGGCAACCCUGAUCCAGCCAUGCCGCGUGUGUGAAGAAGGCCCUCGGGUUGUAAAGCACUUCAGUGAGGAAGAACGCCUGGUGGUUAAUACCCAUCAGGAAAGACAUCACUCACAGAAGAAGCACCGGCUAACUCCGUGCCAGCAGCCGCGGUAAUACGGAGGGUGCGAGCGUUAAUCGGAAUUACUGGGCGUAAAGCGCGCGUAGGUGGCUUGAUAAGCCGGUUGUGAAAGCCCCGGGCUCAACCUGGGAACGGCAUCCGGAACUGUCAAGCUAGAGUGCAGGAGAGGAAGGUAGAAUUCCCGGUGUAGCGGUGAAAUGCGUAGAGAUCGGGAGGAAUACCAGUGGCGAAGGCGGCCUUCUGGACUGACACUGACACUGAGGUGCGAAAGCGUGGGUAGCAAACAGGAUAGAUACCCCAGUAGUC
rnacentral:rRNA from 1 species